UACGUAGGGGGCUAGCGUUGUCCGGAUUUAUUGGGCGUAAAGAGCGUGUAGGCGGUUAGGUAGGUCCGUUGUGAAAACUCGAGGCUCAACCUCGAGACGCCGAUGGAAACCAUCUGACUAGAGUCCGGAAGAGGAGAGUGGAAUUCCUGGUGUAGCGGUGAAAUGCGCAGAUAUCAGGAAGAACACCCGUGGCGAAAGCGGCUCUCUGGAACGGUACUGACGCUGAGACGCGAAAGCGUGGGGAGCGAACAGG
rnacentral:rRNA from 1 species